rnacentral:lncRNA from 1 species
GGGAUCCAUCAGUUCCCAAAUCCAGGGCCAUAUGGGGUCAUCCAUCCAACGGGAUCCAUCAGUUCCCGUUACCGUGGCUAUAUGAGGACAUGGAGCCAUUAGGAUCCCGUUUUUGGGACCAUAUGGGGUCAUCCGUCCAUUGGGAUCCAUCAGUUCCCAUUUCUGGGUCCAUAUGGGGUCAUCCGUCCAUUGGGAUCCAUCGGUUCCCAUUUCCAGGUCCAUAUGGGGUCAUCCGUCCAUUGGGAUCCAUCAGUUCCUAUUUAUAUGGGGUCAUCCAUCUAUUGGGAUCCAUCGGUUCCCAUUCUGGGGUCCGUUUGGGGUCAUCCAUCCAUUGGGAUCCAUCCGUUCCUAUUUCCAGUCCCACUCCAGUCCCAUUGGGAUCCCUUUGGGACCCCUCCAAUCCCAUCGGGGUUCCUCCAAUCCCAUUGGGAUCGCUCCAACCCUAUCAGGACCCUUUCGAUCCCAUUGAGAUCCCUCCAACCCCAUUAGGGUCUGUCCACUCCCAUUGGGAUCCCUCCAAUCCCACUGGGACCCCCCCAAUCCCUUUGGGAUCCCCC